rnacentral:rRNA from 1 species
CCUACGGGAGGCAGCAGUGAGGAAUAUUGGUCAAUGGGCGGGAGCCUGAACCAGCCAAGUCGCGUGAGGGAAGACGGUCCUAUGGAUUGUAAACCUCUUUAGGCGGGGAGUAAUGCCGGGCACGCGUGCCCGGAGGGAGAGUACCCGCAGAAUAAGCAUCGGCUAACUCCGUGCCAGCAGCCGCGGUAAUACGGCGGAUGCGAGCGUUAUCCGGAUUUAGUGGGUUUACAGGGAGCGUAGGUGGAUUGUUAAGUCAGUUGUGAAAGUUUGCGGCUCAACCGUAAAAUUGCAGUUGAAACUGGCAGUCUUGAGUACAGUAGAGGUGGGCGGAAGUCGUGGUGUAGCGGUGAAAUGCUUAGAUAUCACGAAGAACUCCGAUUGCGAAGGCAGCUCACUGGACUGCAACUGACACUGAGGCUCGAAAGUGUGGGUAUCAAACAGGAUUAGAUACCCCUGUAGUC